GCCUAGGUGGUGGAAUGGUAGACACUCGGGACUUAAAAUCCCGUGCCGGCAACGGCGUGCGGGUUCAAGUCCCGCCCUAGGUACCA
rnacentral:tRNA from 2 species